GACGAACGCUGGCGGCAGGCCUAACACAUGCAAGUCGAGCGGAGCGGCGGACGGGUGAGUAAGGCCUAGGUAUCUGCCUGGCUGUUGGGGAUAACGUCCGGAUACGGGCGGUAACACCGCACACUAUCAGAUGAGCAUGGGCGGGAUUAGCUAGUUGGUGGGGUAACGACCUACCAAGGCGACGACCCGUAACUGGUCUGAGAGGAUGAUCAGUCACACUGGAACUGAGACACGGUCCAGACGCCUACGGGAGGCAGCAGUGGGGAAUAUUGGACAAUGGGCGAAAGCCUGAUGCAGCCAUGCCGCGUGUGUGAAGAAGGUCUUCGGAUUGUAAAGCACUUUCAGUUGGGAGGCGUUACCAACAGAAUAAGCACCGGCUAACUUCGUGCCAGCAGCCGCGGUAAUUC
rnacentral:rRNA from 1 species